rnacentral:rRNA from 1 species
UACGUAGGAGGCGAGCGUUGUCCGGAAUCACUGGGCGUAAAGCGCACGUAGGCGGCUUUCUAAGUCAGGGGUGAAAUCCUGGAGCUCAACUCCAGAACUGCCUUUGAUACUGGCGAUCUUGAGUUCGAGAGAGGUGAGUGGAACUGCGAGUGUAGAGGUGAAAUUCGUAGAUAUUCGCAAGAACACCAGUGGCGAAGGCGGACUCACUGGCUCGAUACUGACGCUGAGGUGCGAAAGCGUGGGGAGCAAACAGG